GGCGAUACGGNCACGACUAGAGUGCUGUAGGGGUAACUGGAAUUCNUGGUGUAGCGGUGAAAUGCGCAGAUAUCAGGAGGAACACCGAUGGCGAAGGCAGGUUACUGGGCAGUUACUGACGCUGAGGAGCGAAAGCAUGGGGAGCGAACAGGAUUAGAUACCCUGGUAGUCCAUGCUGUAAACGGUGGGCGCUAGGUGUGGGCUGUGUGUUUGCAGUCUGUGCCGUAGCUAACGCAUUAAGCGCCCCGCCUGGGGAGUACGGCCGCAAGGCUAAAACUCAAAGGAAUUGACGGGGGCCCGCACAAGCGGCGGAGCAUGUGGAUUAAUUCGAUGCAACGCGAAGAACCUUACCUGGGUUUGACAUGCACCAGAUCGGCGUAGAGAUACGUCUUCCCUUGUGGUUGGUGCGCAGGUGGUGCAUGGUUGUCGUCAGCUCGUGUCGUGAGAUGUUGGGUUAAGUCCCGCAACGANNNNAANCNUUGUCUUAUGUUGCCAGCACAUUUUUGGUGGGGACUCAUGAGAAACUGCCGGGGUCAACUCGGAGGAAGGUGGGGAUGACGUCAAAUCAUCAUGCCCUUUAUACCCAGGGCUUCACACAUGCUACAAUGGUCGGUACAACGGGUUGCGACACUGUGAAGUGAAGCUAAUCUCUCAAAGCCGGCCUCAGUUCGGAUUGGGGUCUGCAACUCGACCCCAUGAAGUCGGAGUCGCUAGUAAUCGCAGAUCAGCAACGCUGCGGUGAAUACGUUCCCGGGCCUUGUACACAC
rnacentral:rRNA from 1 species